AAGACUACAGACCGGUGGCCCUGACAUCUGUGGUUAUGAAGACACUUGAGAGGCUUCUUCUUUGACUUCUUGGGCCACAGUUACAGCCUGCACUCGACCCUUUACAGUUUGCCUAUCGAGCGCAUAUGGGUGUGGAGGAUGCCAUAUUGUUCAUGCUGCACAGGGCACUCUCCUUUCUUGAUGGCGUGGGGGGGUAUGUGCGGCUUAUGUUCUUCGACUUCUCAAGCGCAUUUAAUACCAUCCAUCCCUCUAUUCUGAGGGAUAAGCUUGUGAAGUUGGACUUAGAAGAUAGG